UACGGAGGGUGCAAGCGUUAUCCGGAUUCACUGGGUUUAAAGGGUGCGUAGGCGGGCAGGUAAGUCAGUGGUGAAAUCUCCGGGCUUAACCCGGAAACUGCCGUUGAUACUAUCUGUCCUGAAUAUCGUGGAGGUAAGCGGAAUAUGUCAUGUAGCGGUGAAAUGCUUAGAUAUGACAUAGAACGCCCAUUGCGAAGGCAGCUUACUACACGAUCAUUGACGCUGAGGCACGAAAGCGUGGGGAGCAAACAGG
rnacentral:rRNA from 1 species